rnacentral:rRNA from 1 species
AGAGUUUGAUCCUGGCUCAGGACGAACGCUGGCGGCGUGCUUAACACAUGCAAGUCGAACGGUGAACUCCUUCGGGAGGGAUCAGUGGCGAACGGGUGAGUAACACGUGGGCAACCUGCCCCCGGCUCUGGGAUAACUCCAAGAAAUUGGGGCUAAUACCGGAUGGUCACUGCGCACCGCAUGGUGGGUGGUGGAAAGGGUUUCCGGCUGGGGAUGGGCCCGCGGCCUAUCAGCUUGUUGGUGGGGUAGUGGCCUACCAAGGCGACGACGGGUAGCCGGCCUGAGAGGGUGACCGGCCACACUGGGACUGAGACACGGCCCAGACUCCUACGGGAGGCAGCAGUGGGGAAUAUUGCGCAAUGGGCGGAAGCCUGACGCAGCGACGCCGCGUGGGGGAUGACGGCCUUCGGGUUGUAAACCUCUUUCAGCAGGGACGAAGCGCAAGUGACGGUACCUGCAGAAGAAGCACCGGCCAACUACGUGCCAGCAGCCGCGGUAAUACGUAGGGUGCAAGCGUUGUCCGGAAUUAUUGGGCGUAAAGAGCUCGUAGGCGGUUCGUCGCGUCGGCUGUGAAAACCCGGAGCUCAACUCCGGGCCUGCAGUCGAUACGGGCGGACUUGAGUUCGGCAGGGGAGACUGGAAUUCCUGGUGUAGCGGUGAAAUGCGCAGAUAUCAGGAGGAACACCGGUGGCGAAGGCGGGUCUCUGGGCCGAAACUGACGCUGAGGAGCGAAAGCGUGGGGAGCGAACAGGAUUAGAUACCCUAGUAGUCC